UGGGUAGAUGCUUACUCUUAUUAUAGAUACAAAAAAAUCUAAUUCUAAUUUAAAAUCCAAUACUCAACCCUAAAAAGUUAAAUAGUCGGGAAGCAAAUGAACAAUAAACAGGUGGACGCAGACAAAAGGUGGACAAAAGUAUCUAUCGAAAACACUGAUGAGCACAUCCCCGACAUUGCAGCAUAUAAAUAUGAGUUUCAUCAUAAGCAGUUAUCAGGUUAUCACCUUCACAGUCCACGAGAGUGCGUACAAUUAUUGCCACAACUACAAAAAUUUGAAGAUUUUGAAUAUGGUUUCUUAACCAUAUAGAUUUUUAGAUGCUUUUAACUAUUAAACUGACAAUUUGUUCCUUUCCUCGUACUGCAUAUACAAACUACCUACAGCAUUUUGUUUUACUUACUCAUUGAGGUUGUGUUUCUAGUACAUUGUUCUAAUAACUUUGAUAACCUAUAACUUUUUUUUUUCAUUUUUCAUAAACACGUAAGGAAGAUAAACAUUUUAAUAUUUAGCUGGUGUACGUUACAAUAUUUCUUUGAAAAAUAUGGCACCAUUUUUAGGUGAAUGUUCAGUGAUGCGAGAGAUUUCAAAAACCGAACAGGCCAUUAAAGACUGCUACUCAAGAGUUCUAUCACUGGAAAAAAAAAUCGAGUCAGAUAAGAUCUCUGAUGCGAAAAAGGAUAUGAUGAGAAGAGAACUUUUGGAAGUUCGGAAACUCUUAGUAACUAACGAAACUCAGUUGUCACAAUUACACAAACAUAACAGAAAAUCUUUCGCUUUUGUAGCAGCAUUUUGUUUUAUAUGUUGUACUGUGUAUGCUUUGUAUAUCUUAGUUAAUGGGCCAGACUUUUAAUAUGUUAAGACAAAACAGAGUUGCGUUACAUUACAACUGGUAUAAUUAUAUAUACAUAUGAAAUACUUAAGAAUUAUUUCUGAAUUUUCCAAUCAUUUUUUGUGGCACUUAAUAAUUUUUAAAAAUAUUUUGUGUUGAUGGAAAUAAUCAAUUAUAAAGUGACUGUAGCGAAAUAAAUAAGUUGGGGACUCUUAUCUGCGACCUCUUCCUCUACCUCUACCUCUAGGACCGCCUCUUCCACGGCCACGUCCCCGGCCUCUGGAUGCACCACGAGCACUCUCCUUCUUCUUUGCUUUGGCUUUGGGAGUAUCAUCAAUCAACAACGUUUCUAAUGGUAAACUAUCAGGUAAAAUAUAAUACCGAAUGUUAUUGCCCCUAACAGUUAAUGUAUCCAAGUUAACAGGAUUUCGAUUUUUUACAGUGACUUUUACAGCUUUUAGGUGUGUAUUCAUUGCUACAUCUACACCCGUGAUGGUCCCAUGUACUUGUGUACCAUUUUUUAGUUCCAUGGUUACAGUCUCAUGACUUAACUUCAUCAAAAACCUGAAAACAAAAAAAGUUGGGUUAGGUAAAUAAACAUGUUAUCGCAG